GAUUGCACAUUUUUCAGAUAUUUUUCGAGUUGGUAGAUGGAAACAGAAUUCACAUAUUUCGGAUGAACUUUCUACAUUGAAAGCUAGAUUACCAGAGUAUUGCUUGAGUUCACGUUCUCUGAACACUCGUAAAAAGUACCAGUAUGCCUUUAAUGCUUUCUAUUGGUUUUUGUGUUUGUUACCUGCAGCGGCCUAGGCAGACAGUAACAGAUGAACAUUUAGUAUUUUGCAUUUGUCUUUAAUAAAAUUAAAGCUUUGCUGCACACUGUCAGGCGAGCUGAUCACAUACAAAGGUGUUGAGUUUAUUUUGUAAA